GACUGGUUGGCGCAAUGGUAGCGCGUUCGACUCCAGUCAGCGCAAGCUGCUAGGUAUCGAAAGGCUAGGCGUUCAAAUCGCCUACUGGUCA